UACGUAGGCAGCAAGCGUUGUUCGGAGUUACUGGGCGUAAAGGGUGCGUAGGCGGCUUCUUAAGUCUGGUGUGAAAUCUCCCGGCUCAACUGGGAGGGUGCGCCGGAUACUGAGGGGCUAGAGUGUGGGAGAGGAAAGUGGAAUUCCUGGUGUAGCGGUGAAAUGCGUAGAUAUCAGGAGGAACACCGGUGGUGUAGACGGCUCUCUGGACCGUAACUGACGCUGAGACACGAAAGCGUGGGUAGCAAACAGG
rnacentral:rRNA from 1 species